CUUUAAUGCAUCCAUGUUCCAAUUGUUUACAAUACUGAUCUACUUGACAGUAGAUACUGUCAGACAUUUUUCUCCUCAUUCUAAUGGGUUUGUAGUAUUAUUUCAGUGUUUUUGUAACUUGAUUUCUCUAGUGAUUAGUAAUAGUGAACAGGUAAUCAAAGAUAUUGAUUUCUGUCUUCUUUGUUGCAGUGUCUAGCCAAAUGUUUUGGAAAAGAAGAUUAUUAUUUUAUUUCACUUUGUGUUUUCUUAUUAUUGACAUUUAGACUUCUUUAUAUAUUCUACAUGUGAGCUGUUUAUCAGGUAUGUGACUUGCAAGUAUUUCUUCUCAUUCUAUAUCUUCAUAUUUUAUCAGAAUCUUCUAAGUUUUCUGCUAAUUUUUUAAUAUUUUUACCUUUGAGUAUAUAAUAGUAUUUGAAUUAAUAUUGUGCGAAUUUUGAGGUACAGAGUGAAUUUUCUUUUUUUAUGUGAAAAUUCAGGUGUUCCAGAAUCAUUUGUUGAAAAAAAAAUCAUCAUUUCUCCAUUGAAUUACUUUUUUUUUUUUUUUACUUUGUAUAAAGUCAAUUGGCAAAAUUUUCAUGGAUGUGGGGGAGAGAGAGGGAUAAUAUAAUAUCAGGAGAUAGAAAGAAGCAGAAAAAGAGAAAACACAUAAUAAAAGAAAAAGAGAAAGAAAAUGAAAAUAAAUUAAAUAUCUGUAUUAGGAUUUUCUGAAAACAAUUCUAAAGCAAAUUAUUUUACACUACUUAGCAGCUAUACAAAAUAGUAAAAACAUAUAAUUUGAACUUGGAUUACAAAUUUACUUAGGCAGUUUGACAAAUACAAACUGUCCACUUGUAGAUAAGGUAAAUUGGUCGAACCAAUUGUGUUCUCUUGCUGAACCUCUCAAUUUUACAUAAAAUAUAAAUUGUGCUUUUCAAAAACUGUCCUAAGUUUCAGUUUUACUAAAAGUUGGUAAUUAAAAUGUACUUUACAAUUAUUAUACUUUAUAAAAAAUCUGUUUUCCAAACAUGCAAAAUGAAAAGUGUAUCACAUACUUUACAAGCCAUUUCAGGUAAAAAUCUGUUUUCCAAACAUGCAAAAUGAAAAGUGUAUCACACACUUUACAAGCCAUUUCAGAUAUUUUGGCCUCAUUCAUCUUCCCUUUGACCUCUUCUUAGCCCACCUAAAAGUUAAAAUAAGUAAGGUUUAAUACUGUCCCCAGAUCAAGUCUAGUUGGGAAAUGGAUAUGCAAACAGAUGUCAAAAUAUUGUCAUUCAUUCUGCACAUAAAUGUUAGUGCUGAUCACUGUUUCCGGUUCCUGGACAGAAAGGUAUGGCAGGGCAAAAAUGUAAAAAUAACCGCUCUUGUGAAGCUUAUUCUAUAGCAAGGAAAUCAUACUGUGCUCAUAUAAUAAAAGAAGAUAAUUAUAUUGCAUGUAAGGAAAAAAGUAGGACAGAGGAAUUGUGAUCCAGGUGGUAAACAUUGCAGUUUAAAUUGUGUUGGAUGAUUUUAAGUAAAGACUUGAAAUGCAUGUGGUAGUUGGUUUUACAGAAUGCUCAGCAAGGGACAUUCCUGGACAAUAGAAAGGUCAGUGCAAAGUCCCUGAGUCUUUCUGAAGAAAAAUAUGGAAGCCAGCAUGUUGGGAAUGGAAUGGAAAGUGGGGGUGGGGGGCAGAGAAGAGGAGAUGAGAUUAAGCAAACAUUUGUGGGGAACUUCCAGUUCUUUGGCCUUUGCUGCAUUAAAAUGUCUCUGUCUUCACAGGGACAGAGACAGUCUGAUCCGCCUUUUCUUCUAAAACAGCUACUGUGUUGAAAGCAGCAGCUCAAAAAGAAGUAGGGGCAAGUCUUGCAGGCCUGUGAAGCUGAGGGAGUCCAGACCUCCAUGGUUCUCAGCCUGGGGAUGCCAGGAAGAGCCUCAUGGUCAAAGUCACCCAUGAAUUGUCAUGUGAUAUUGAUUGAGUUCUGGAACUUACCUGAUAAAAAAUAAUUACCUGAUGGAUGAGAUCAAUAAGAUCUUUGUGUAUAGAAUGUUAACAAGAAAAGAAAAAAAAAAUCACUAUAGUUGAAUUUUUCUUUUCUAAAACCUAUACAGGAGAUCAAUAUGGGGAGCCUGCAGUUUGAUCUCCUCAAAGGUAUCAGGAACUGAAGCCAAGAUGAUUCAUGUGUAUGAUUUUUGUAGAUACAACUUGCUUACUUCCUACCAAUAUUAUUUUGAACCUUAGAAUCAGCUAAUUUCAUGCACGCUUCUUAUCCCUAAGCACUGAACAAAACCCUGUGGAUCUUCCGUGCUUCCUCCCACCGCUUAUGACAGUCCACUGAUGUCCUCCACACAGACCACCUCAAUAGGCCUUUAGUUGUUCCCUUUCAAUCUCAAAUAACUUCCUUAAGAAACUCUAUAGCAGGAAAGAUUAUUCUUUACCAACUGAAUGCUAGAAAUCACCUACUGAUGUUAUUUAUGUUAAUCCCUUCUAGGUGAAGGUACUUGUUCACCCAUGUCCUCAGGGAUUCCCCAGUUCAGGAGUGUGUGGCAGAGAAGAGUCGGUAUUAUCUUGCUUGUUCGGUGCCUUUUCCCAGCCUUUACCUCUAUAUUCUCAGGUAGCACGCCCACAUAUUGGAAACUUAGCCCAUCUAGUCUAGUCUACUCUAUUAAGGUCUGUGUUCUUAACCAUCUUCCCAUAAUAAUUGAGGUUAUAGCACUUGUUUCCUUUUCCUUCCUGAAUUCUGUUACCAUCAUUUCCAUGACUGUUAUUACUGAUGUCGAUGAACAAGUAUUUCUAGCUCUCUCCCUCAUGGGUCAUAUGUUAGGAUCACCCACAGGAAAACUUGUUCUUCCAAAAGUAUCGUGAACAGAUAUAAUCAGUGACAUUUACUAGUCAGGGUAUUUAAUUACUGGCUUCAGACACUCUUAGAGUGUUCUUUUCCUCUGGCAUGACAUCUAACUAGUGAUACUGCUUCAGCCUAUAUCCUUAAAUAGGUGUGAAAAACAGAACAUAUAAACAGACUUGUCAGAGUAGUAGCAUAAGCCCAAUGAGAUACUGCUGUGCUGCUCACACAGCAUAAAUGAGCCUACUCAGCCACUGAGGAAUGUAGAAAUUGUUAUAAACAAGACAGUUAAAUUAACAUAUAUCACAUUUGCUAUAGAUUGGCUGGACACAGGCUGCUGGAAACUUAUGAUAAACUCGAAGGUUGGCAAUCCAUAUUAUGGCAUGGCAAAACAGUUAAAUUUCUACUUGGUAUAAGAUAGAAAAUAUAUUUCACAAACUCAACCUAUCUAAAAAAGACAUUGGAAAACAACAUAUUGAUGGUAUGUUUUGGCUAUAGUUGAACAAUUACUAUCAGAAUGAGACGAGCUCUGAAAUAUUUUCAUGGUAUCAAGCAGAAGCAAAGAAAAUAGAAAGAAACUGGAAACCCAGAGACUUGCAAUGUUGAAAAGGGAGCCUUUCCUUCUCUCCAACUUCGAUGAAGACAAGACUGAGAAGACCUAUGAUUGAUGAAGCUAGAUUAGGCUAUACCUUGCUGUGAGAGUCAAAUGAAGGCUGUAGCUGCCACAACUGCAGAAAAUAUGUGAGGGGAUUCAGGUGCAUCCUGCAGAAGUCUUCCCUUGGAAAAAAAUGCCUUAGUGAAAAGAAGCUAGGAGUAUGAAGAGUAGAUAAAAGCAUGUUUAACAAUGGUCUGUGACUAUGAACUCCUCCAAAUAAGUAACUCAAGUAAAUAAGCACCUAAAUGUUUUCAGAAAGCAGCACUACAAUUCAAGAAGCCACUGGGUGUGUACACUUCAGUGUGGCGCGUACACCAUGUGGUAAAGCCAGCGGCUAUACAGGGCUAUUGAGAAUGAGAUGUGGCUAAGUGUGAAUGAAAACAUGAAUUUAAUUUUAUCUAAAUUAACUAAAGUUUUUAUUUUAAAACAUACUAAAUAUUUGGAGUUAUGUACAACAUGCUUGUUUAGAAAGGUCAUGUUUUCUUUCGUUAAACCCUUGGAAAUUUAGCAUCAUAACUGACAUGCACUGUAUAUAUGAAAUACACACUGGUCUUUGAAGAUUUAGCUGAAAAUGACAAAAUAAAUAUUAAUUACUCUUUUUAGAUUUACUGUGAAAUAUAAUAUUCUAUAUACAUGGAUUUUAAAAAGAUCUCUGCUGUGCUGAUUUUACCUGUUUUUUUUUCCAUUUUUUAAAAAUAUGGAUCAUUUUUCAGUUGCUUAAGUUUGCUACAUGAUAUUUUAGUGGAUAGUGCUAAUUUGGCCUAAAAAGCAGUUGUGACUAUUUGACAGUUGAAAUGAUCCUUACUCUCCAGUGCUGAGAGACCUGCACACUUAACAUCCAGAAAGGCUUAUUAUCUAAUUUUAUCUAAUUUUCUGUUGCCAAGGGAAAGGAAGGGGGAAAAAAAAAGACUGACCUCUAGAGAGCAGAGAGAGGACUGACCCCAGGAAGCCAUGAACCAGGGACCUCCUCAGGGGACAACAGCACUGUCAUCCCCAAGGAGGGGCCUCAUCAUUUCUGUGCAACAAGAUUAAUGCCAAAUGUUUGUUGCUUUGUGUCGGCCAUUAUUCUCCUUCCUGAGUCUGUACUAAGAAUAUUUGCUCCCUGUUCUUUCUCUGUACUUCAGACAAGUGCAGCAAAAGUAUGUGUCCUUUUGGUACACAGGCCAAAAUAAGUUAUAUUUAGACCUAAGAGACUUCUGAGCACCACCCUUGAGAGUGAGAAAAAAAAAAAACAACACACACACUUCAUAAAAAGAGAUCCUGAUCUUUGAGCAUGAUUCUCUGACAGAACAGAAUGUACUACUCUCACUUGGAAAGUAUCUGCAUAAACUCUGGCUGCAGGAAGGAGAGCAGGAUUAAUCAUUUGUGCACCAAGCAAACAUUGCAUCCAUCCAUUACAUAUUACCAGCUUUCUUCCUUCAUUGCAGGAUUAGUCUUAUGAUUCUCUUAUAUGGGGUGGGGCCAUUUGAAAACCCAUGCAUGAGUUGUAAACUGAAAUGAUGUCUGCCAAUGAAAUGAUGUCUGGUCUGGGACACUCUUUUCUUCCUGAUAACCAACAAUUUUCUUAAUGCCCACAGCUUCCUUAGCUGUGGAGUGGAUGUAUGAGUGUAGCUUCCCUGCUGAACCAUAAUGGACACAAGACAGGACAAGAAAGAAGCUUGGUUAUUUUAACAUAGUGUUUAGGUAAGGGUGGAGAAUGCCCCCACAGAUGCACUGGAGCUGUUGGCUAUCUUGACUUACCAGAGCCUGCCCUGGAGACACACAUUACAUAUAGUUAUAGAUAUAAGUAUAGAGAUACAUGUAUAUCUAUAUCUAUAUCUAUAUCUAUCUCUCUCUCUCUAUAUAUAUAUAUAUAUAUAUAUCUAUCUAUCUAUCUAUCUAUAUAUAUAUAUAUAUAUAUAUCUAUAUCUAUAUCUAUCUAUCUCUCUCUAUAUAUAUAUAUCUAUAUAUCUAUAGAUAUAUAUAUAGAGAGAGAUAGAUAUAUAUAUAUAUAGAGAGAGAGAGAUAGAUAUAGAUAUAGAUAUAUAGAGAUAAAUAUAGAUGGAUAUAGAUAUAGAUAGAUAUAGGUAUAGAUAUUGAUAUAUAGAGAUAUAUAGAGAGAUAUGGGUAUAUAUAGAUAUAUAGAGAGAUAUAGGUAUAUAUAGAUAUAUAUAGAUAUAGAGAUAGAUGUAGAUAUAGAUAUAUAGAGAGAUAUGUAGAUAUAUAAAUAUAUAUAUAUAGGUAUAUAGAUAUAUAUAGAGAUAUAUAGAUAUAGAGAGAUAUAGAUAUAUAGAUAUAUACAUAUACAGAGAGAUAUAUAGGAAUAUAUAUAUAGAUAUAUACAGAGCUAUAGAGAUAGAUAGAAAUAGAUAUAGAUAGAUAUAGAGAGAUAUAGAGAUACAGUGAUAUAGGGAUAUAUAGAUAUAUAGAGAUAUAUCCAUAUAGAUAGAUAGAUAGAUAGAUAGAUAUAGUUAUAUUCCAUUCAACAAACUUGUCUUCAAUCAAAAAAUCAUUCUCCUGACUCCAAAGCUGAGUUUUAUAAAUCACAUUUGCUUUACUUCUGAAAUCUUCAAAUUCAUGUUUCUUUUAUCUAGUCAUUUCUUCUUCUCAUUUUGUAAAUUCCAUGCCACUCGUUAAUUUUUCCUUUUAUUCUGUAUAGUUCUUUCAUCUAUUAACAUUCCCCUUUCUGAGAUUCAUAGCCCUUGUCUCUCACCAAAAUAUAGCAGUUUGGGUCCUUCUAUAGGAAUUUGAGUCUUUGUAAAACGCUAUUUACAUUGCUCAGUUUUGUCUUUUUUCCCUACAACAAUUUUGAAUUUUACUUUUGCCCUAUGAUUCCGAAAAACAAUGACAGAGAAACCCUCUCCACUGUUUAUAUUCCAGAAAUAAUUUAUAGUAUAGCCAGGGCCCCCUUCCUCUGUAUUGCUUAGGUAAGACUUGGGAGUCUUCCCAUUGUUUUUCUAUUAGAAGGCCAGAUUUUUAAACUAUUAUUUUUUGCCUCAUAAAUGAUGAGUUGAACUGUUUGGUUCCCCUGACCAAACAGGAUGAAACACCUGCUAACUUGCCCCUGAUUAAUUAAAUUUCUCUCCUUCCUUGAUCUAACUGAACUUCUAGACCUCCUAGUCCCCUAGCUGCAGCCCACAGUCCUCAUCUGCACAACCCUGUAAUCACAGUUGCCUGUAGAAACUGUUUGUACCAGUGUCUCUGCCAAGAACAUUGUCUCCAUGUGCAUCUCUAACUCAUUUUCCUAGUUAGACCUGAGUGUGGAAGUCAGGGCAUCUGGGAAAGCAAUGUUCUACCCUCACUGUCUGUCUGCAGCCCCACCCAAUGAUGUUUCCUUCCCCAAUGCUUCUACCCCUGUAUGUACCACUUCAUUACCACAUACCUCUCCCAUCAAGACAGCAUACUCUGAAUGGUAAUUAUCUCUUUUAUUUGACAGGUAGAACAGUCAUUUCUUUCAAUAGAAAAAAGCUCACUAUGAGGAAAUGCUAACAAUAGUGCAUUUUGCAAAGCUUGAGUUACUUAAUCUGGAUUGCUAUCAUAUAAGAAAUACAGGAGAAAAGUCCAGAAUGCUUUGACAUUACCAGUCCGGUCAACUACACUGUGCCCAAAUAAUAUGAGCCCCUUUUCCUAUGGAUCUGAUCUUAGUUCCCCAGAGAGAAUACAAUUGCUUCUAAUAACAAUUUAUACAGGAAACAAAGUACAAAUCUAUAUCAAGGGGAAAAAGCUCCUAAAGGCAAUCACAUUUGAAAGAUGUUACCUAUUACCAGGCACACAAUAAAGAAAUCUUUUUAUAUUAUUAUGCAGAGCAGUUAGCACCCUAUUGAACAUUCCUGAAUAGGAUCUUGAUUUUCACUUUGAAUGGAGAAGACCCAUUGAAAUGUUUGAUUCAAACAAGAGAUCCCUUUGCUUAAAGGUGAGUCCAAGCAAUUCAGAGAGGCAUCAGUGCCUUUCUACCAGACUCUUCUUUCUCAAAUGAAUCUUUUUCAUCAAUGAAACUUCUAAAUGUUGACAGGCUUCCCAUCUUGGUCCUGGACUCUUUUCUCUCUUCUAUCUGUUCUAUUUCCUAACCUGAUCCAGUCCAGCACAAUGUUUUAAUUUUCAAUGAACAAACUCUCUCACUCCUCUGUUUUUACAUCUGCCAAACCCAGGCGAUGAUGGCUGACUCCCUUGCUAUAGAAUCUCUGAAUAAGCAGUCCAUGAUUGUUCUCAAUGCAGAUAAGAAUGGCAAGUCCGUUUAUUUCUAUAAUAUACCUACAUGUUUAUUCCUUAAAAAUAGAAAAAUUCCUUAAAAAUCAAUUGAACAUAAUUAUAAUUAAAGAAAACAAUGUUUAUUGAAAAUUAAAUUCUUAUUUUUUGCAAAAUUUGUUCAAAUGUAUGGAUAGAUUAGAUUUCAUUAUUUUCACAGUAAAUGAAUUUCAGAUCUAUACUUAUCUUUAAUUUUUGCCUAUUUGCCUCUACCUUCAUCAAACUCUUGUCUGCAAGGAGAAUCCAUGUAGAUCUUAAAAUAGAAAGUAUAGAUUAAUUCAACUGUGGGUAAAAAACUGGAGGUAUUCCAAAUCCUGAGGCCAAGCAGCACCCUAGCAUUGGACCGGAGGAUUAGAAUGAAUGAUUUCUCAGGAAGGUUUUCCACUGAGUUCCAAGAGUUUAUGUAUUCACCUUUCAAACUUAAAUGUUAGGUUUUCUCUUUGUGGUAUUCUUUCUGCCUUUAGCACAUGUGAUCCAUAAGGCUAUAGGAACUAUGCAAUGUGUGCUUUCAAGAAUUAUGGAAUGAAUGUGCGCCUUCCUUUGAAACACUCCAGUAGAGUUGUUAUGGUUUGGGUGUCAGGUGUCUCCCAAAAGCUCAUGUGUGAGACAAUGAAGGAAUGUUUAGAGGUGAAAUGAUUGGGUUGUGAGAGCCUUGACCCAAUCAGUGCAUGAAUUCCUUGACAGGGAUUAACUGGAUGGUGUGAGUGGAAGAGGUGAGUGACUGGGGAGUGACUUUGGGGUUUAUAUUUUGUCUCUAGUGAGGAACAUUCCCUCUCUCUUGUUCUGCUUCCUGGUGAUGUCCCCAGCUACUUUUCUCAGUCACGCCCUUCUUCCAUGAUGUUCUUCCUAUAUUAGAGCCUUGAAGAAUGGAGUGAGUUGGUUGUCGAGAGCCAUCUGUGGGCUGUGUGUGGACUACAUUGGCAUCACAGCCAGUGAAUAGGAGAAUCUGGUUUCUGGGACCUUCCAGUGGAAAUUUCCUCUAGCCAAGACCACCCAAACACUUUGUGAGCCCUAUUCUGCUCUGCCCCAGGUCCCACACAACAGAGGAGAUUGGGUGACCUGCUACAGUCUAACAGCCUCUCAGAGAUGGGUGUGACCUGCCAAGAUGCCAAUCAACCUGCUGACUGCAAGACAAAAUGAAACAAGACUCCACCCCUGAGACCUUACCCCUGCCUUUAAUAUACCCCCUUAAAUAAACCACGGGAGCCAUAUUCUAAGUGUCCAGCUCCAGUUCCUGUGUAGGCUAGAUCUAUCAGGCGCUCUGCUUUCAAAACUAUCUUUCAAACUGAGUUUUUUCUUUUUUUUGUUAUUGUUGUUGUUGUUAUUCACUAAUUAUUUCUGACUUAUUUUCUCUGGUAACUUAUACCCUCCUGGGCAGGAAUAGGACUCCCUGGCCAGGCACUGGCAGCUUUCCCAUAUUUGGUC
rnacentral:lncRNA from 1 species